rnacentral:lncRNA from 1 species
AUCACUCCAUUAGGAAAUUUGUGAAAGACAAAUUCAGAGGUCAAGAGUUUGGACUAGAACUAGAAGACAAGCUUGCAAGGAAUUUGGGUAAAACUGAUUAUGAGGAAGGGAAAUUAGGGAUUUGGACUCUUGAGAAAUUAAGGCAAUUAAAAGAAAAAAAAUAAAAGAAAUAAAAAUAAAGUCUGCCUUUUUAAAAGAAAGAGCCACAUUAAUGAUAAAUCAUUCCCAAGCUUUGAAAACAUUAUCUAUU